rnacentral:rRNA from 1 species
CCCUACGGGGCGCAGCAGGCGCGAAAACUUUACAAUGCGAGAAAUCGUGAUCAGGGAACCCCAAGUGCCCGUAAAUUCGGGCUGUUAAUCUGUGUAAAAAGCAGGUGGAGAAAGGGCCGGGCAAGACCGGUGCCAGCCGCCGCGGUAAUACCGGCGGCUCGAGUGGUGGCCACUAUUACUGGGCUUAAAGCGUCCGUAGCUGGAUUGUUAAGUCUCUUGGGAAAUCUACCGGCUUAACCGAUAGGCGUUCAAGGGAUACUGGCAAUCUAGGGACCGGGAGAGGUGAGAGGUACUCCAGGGGUAGGAGUGAAAUCCUGUAAUCC